AUAUGCAUGGCGGCGAGGCGGGUAGGCACAAGGCAGACUCUGCGGGGCUGGCGUUGUGCGGGCAGAAGCUGGUGGUGCAGGGGAGCAGCCGGUUCCAGACCACCUCCACUGCAAGCAGUGACGAUGACAGCCUCUUCAUCUAUGACUGCAGUGCUUGAAAACAAGUCACAAGAAAAUAAAGGGGACGACGAGCCGCCCUUGGUUCAGGGGAGCGGUGCAAUUGUCGGUCCACCUUCUCCAAGUCUGGCAGCUGUUUUCUUUAACCGAUGGCAGUAAGUGUCUGAUUCUUUUCUGUACAUAACCAUGGCAAUGUCUGAGUGUCAGGACCAUGACAAGGAGGUGUACGGACCUGACCUUCACAGCCUCCGAAGAGAAGGUCUUGGUGGCUGACAAGUCUGGAGGCGUCUCCUCUUCGGUGCUGGAGCCACACGGAUGCGGCCGACUGGAGCUGCAGCACCUUUCUGUCCAUGCUAUUAGACGUGGCUGUGCAUCCUGAUGACCACUUCGUCCUCACUGCGGACCGGGACGAGAAGAUCCAGGUCAGCAGGGCCGCCAUGCCCCGCAGCAUUGAGUCCUCCUGCCUCGGGCACACAGUUUGUGAACUACAUCUCCAUGUUGCCCACUCAGCCUGAGCUGCUUCCAUCCUCCUCCGGGGCCUGCACCCUGAGGCUCUGGGAGUACAGAAGCGGCCGCCAACUUCACUUCUGUCACCUCCACAGUCUCCAAGAGUCCGCGGACCUCCAGGUCCCCCCAGAGGUUUGCCGCGUCCAGGAUUGCGUUCUGGUGCCAGGAGAACCGGGUGGUGCUUCUGAGCACCUGCAUUGCUGUGGGAUACAUCUUCCAGUUUCACGCCGGUAGACAGAAGCUGGUGUACAGGCAGCAGCUGUCAUUCCAGCAUCGAGUGUGGGAUGUAGCUUUUGAGGAAACCCAGGGGCUGUCGGUGCUCCAGGACUGCCUGGAAGCCCCCCUCCCCUGGUGCUCUGCAGGCCUGUGGGUGGCCAGUGGCAGUCUGUUCCUGAAAGUGCCAUGUUAAAGAAAGUCUCCAGUGUUCUUUGUGGGAACCGGGCCAUGCUGGAAGGCUCUGCCUGCGUGAACCCCAGCUUUAGCAGUCUCUACAAGGCCAACUUUGACAACAUAACCUUCUACCUGAAGAAGAAAGAGGAGAGACUGCAGCAGCAGCUGAAGAAGCAGCAGCGCAGUUGAGUCCCCCACCUGGGCCAAUGGGCAGGCCAAGAAGAUAAGGCCGGGGGAGUCAGCCUGGCGUUGCUGAUCUUGGCUGUCGGUGGUGCCCCACACCCUCGAAACAGGAAAAGUAGUUUUCACUUGUUCCCCCUGCAUCCUGGCAUCUCCCUUCAAAAAGGAAAAGGUGACAUCAGGUGCGACCAGCUCAGCUCAGAGAACGGGACUGUCUCCUGGGCUCUAGAACAUUCUGUGUUGCUGGGCACAGGCUCUUGCCUGGUGCCUGUGCUCCUUUCUGGUUGAAGGGAAGCCAGACGGGUGGAGUGGAAGCACUUUACCUUCACGUUGAAGGCAGCGUGUGAACCUGCAGUGGUGGCAGCUGUCAGUUUUCUGCUAUUCUGGAGCCUGGCGCGCUUCCUCUAGGAGGAUCUAUCGCCGACGCUGUGGACGCUUUCCUGUUGUUCCCACCAUCUCACGGUCCAGGUGAUGCGCUGCCCCGCAGUAGCUGCUCGCCAUACGAGGCUGUUGAAACUUAAACGAACGCUUCAGCCUGCCCCAGCCCCAGCACUGCACCUUGUACUCAGGAGGUGCCCGUGGCGAGUGGUUCCCACGUGGGAAGUG
rnacentral:lncRNA from 1 species